rnacentral:rRNA from 1 species
CCUACGGGAGGCAGCAGUGAGGAAUAUUGGUCAAUGGCCGUAAGGCUGAACCAGCCAAGUCGCGUGAAGGAAGACGGAUCUAUGGUUUGUAAACUUCUUUUAUAGGGGAAUAAAGGUAUCCACGUGUGGAUAUUUGCAUGUACCCUAUGAAUAAGCAUCGGCUAACUCCGUGCCAGCAGCCGCGGUAAUACGGAGGAUGCGAGCGUUAUCCGAAUUUAUUGGGUUUAAAGGGUGCGUAGGUUGUUUUUUAAGUCAGCGGUGAAAGUUUGUGGCUCAACCAUAAAAUUGCCGUUGAAACUGGCAGACUUGAGUGUGUUUGAGGUAGGCGGAAUGCGUGGUGUAGCGGUGAAAUGCAUAGAUAUCACGAAGAACUCCGAUUGCGAAGGCAGCUUACUAAGCCAUAACUGACACUGAAGCACGAAAGCGUGGGGAUCAAACAGGAUUAGAUACCCGGGUAGUC